GCGAAAAUUCUAGUCUCAGUGAAAAUCUUGUGCAAGGAUGGCUUACAUGCUCUACCUUUAUGAGAUUUUGCAAGAAACUCAGCUGACCAGACAAUUGCUUAGAGAAAUGAAAUCAAAUUCGAGGAUAUAUUUUACAUGCAAAGGCAAUACUUUUUCAUUUUCUUCCCUCGUGUAUCUUGUUAGGUUUAUCCAUCCUUGACCUAAAACAUUUUACCUUGUAGUAUAUUAUGGUUACUUUUUUACCUGAAAACUUUUAAGCAUAGAUUACAAAUGGUUUAAUUUAAACAUUUAAGAUUUUUCUUCUGUAUGAAUGUAUUUUUUAAUUAAUUUUAUAGUUUUGUUACUCCUUACCUACUCUCUGAGCACUUUCUCUUAUAAUUUUCUUUAGAGAGAUCUGCUCCAAAAUCUGCUUCUAUGCUCAUUCUCGCUUCAAGUAGUUAAGUUUCUUUGAACCAGCUAAUAUUCAAAAUCAUAUUAUUAUAUUAGGUCAAGAUAACUAAGUUAAGGGGAUGUGUUGAAGAUUUUGAAAUGACAUAUAGAAAGGCUUUUGCAAAGGAAGGAUCUGGCAUGGUUGACUUGGGGGGGGGGGGGUUGUUUGUUGAAAUAUGUGAUUGGUAGGAAGUUCUUGAUAGUAUAACAAUUCAUAGAUGAUUUAUCUCGAGAUUUAGACCAGAGGCAAUGUGCUUUUAGGGAAUGAAAGUCGAGGAUGAAAAUGUUUAUG
rnacentral:lncRNA from 1 species